AGUCCUUGCAUCUGAUCCGUUGCACCGUCCAGCAUUUCUGUCAUUCGAUGUGCUCUAUCCUCGUGUCAAGCUCCCUUUGUUCUGGUGUGUAGCAAGAACAAAAAUGUUGCAAUUGUCUUCAUCCCAGACAGCCUCCCCCACUUGACUGUUGUUUUUGCCAGGGAGAGAAUAAAAAAGGGCCAAUGACACGCAUUAUUGUGGGUUCCUGGACUUCGUCUUCAUCACUAAAGGAAAAAGCUAAUCCGUGGGAGAGAAUCUCUCUGCCAUUUUCCAGAACUCAAAGCGCUUCGACACUAUUUCCACAUUCACCCACGGCGCUAACCAGGACCCAUCAGGAGCACGGGUGAAGUGUCUUGCUCAAGGAUACCACGGAUGUGACAAGGAUGGUAGAAGGUGGGGAUUGAAACUAACCCUCAGAUUGCUGGCACGGCCACUCUACCGCCUUCGCCACGCCGUCGCCCAAGUCACAAAACAAAGCCUGUAAUUUGAAAUUUUAUUUGUUUGUUUUGUUUACAGGCCUUCAGCUUUAAGCAAAUACAAGCUGUUUUAACUGUUUUUAAUACUGUCAACAUUAUAAGGUUGUGCUUAUAAAAAUUAGCUGUACUGUCGUU